GGCCGAUGCGCGGGGCUCCGGGCUCCUCCUCCUCCUCCGCCGCCUCCGAGCGGGGAUGCUGCUGCCGGGCACGCACCGGGAGCCCCGCGGAGCGCUGCGGGCUGCGGCCACCCGAGGGAUCCUCACCUUUGGAGCAAGCAUCUCCCUUCCACGGAGCAGCGGCAUUUUGCUGAGGUUUCCUGCAUGCAGAAGGGACAAAUGCAUCCACUUCCAAUCCUGCAGAAGCAAAGAGAACGGUGUCAGAGGGAAAGUUGGAAGGCGGAUCUCAAUAUUUAAUUGCCUUUUAGCAAUACAUCAGCCAUAGCAGCAGCAAAAGGCAGAGCUGUAUCGCAGAAAUGCCCCUCUGAAAUGCAAGCGGCUGUGUUUGUUUUCUUAAACAAUUAAACGCCAUCUCCAUCAGCCACUUGUGGAUGAUCUUAUUUAAAGGUUAAUUGAAUAUUCCUUGCAACUUUGAUGUGCAUUUCUCUUUGGAGAGAACUGCUCCAUUUGGCAGCCAGGCAUUAAAGGGGUGGAAUGCGCAAUGGGCCAAUUCGGGAAAAAAAAAGAGGAGGAGGGAAAUAGGAAGCAAGAACUGAAUUUGCCUUUUCUUUUCCCUUCUGUGGCUGCUGCACCGAAGCAGUUGAGCAGAGCAGGGAUGGGAGAAUGUAAUGCUCUGGAAAGCAAAAGGAGCUGAAGGAGAGGGGCAGACAGCGGCAGCACAGCAGAUGCUCUGCACAGCAGGGACAGAGCCUGGCUGGGUGUCAGCACGCAGAAGUUGCCUUUUCUCAGCUCCCUUUUGGCUGAGCACUGCGCGGGGUACAAAAAUACCCGGAAUGAGAGAAAUCACAGCACAACUGGUGCUGCAGACAGGGAAGGAUGGUGCGGAAGGAGUGCGUGGCUUUGCUCUGGAGCUUGGGUGCCAGGAAGCCAACGUGGGCUUAACACAGACAGCCUUGGUUUGGUGGCAGACAUGAAGUCCUACCUGAGAGAAAUUCUUUCCCUGAUCCUCAGCCUUCUUGCUAAGCUCAGGGGUUGAGAAUGCUCAGCUAUCCAGGCCAGUUAUUUCCUCUCCCAGCACUUAGCAGAGCACCCAGAGGACACGGAUUUGCUUUUAUAGCCCCAGAAAAGCCCGUGGAAGAGGAAGGGGCAGCAGCAUGGAGGCAAUGAGGGCUCCCGGCUGCUCCUCUGCCUGCUGGGGGGGUAGGCAAGAAGAUCACUGCAGAUGGAGACUGGUCUCCAUGGCAGCCCGCAGCUCCAGUUCUAAAUUUUUCUCUGUCCAUGGAGAGGAUGCUUCUCCUCCGUGUGCUCUGGGGGGGCUGCAGCAGAAAGAGCCUCAGUUUGGGGUUUUUUUUUUUGGCAGUUUAAGGGAAUGGGAGAAACCCUUGGUGCUCCCACCUUGGCAGAAGCCAAAGGGCAAACGGACACCCCAUCACUCGUUCGUGCUGUGCCCACGACUGGGGAGCAGAGGAAGAUGCAUGCAAAGCCCAUGGAACGGAAAGCCAGGAGGAGCCGUAUUUAGGGCACAUCUCCGGUUACGUGAAGCUUUUGCUAUUUCUGGCUGCAUCCUUUGCAUCAAUGAGAUCCUGGAAAAAGCUCACGGAAGACGUGUGGGACAGACACUCUCCGCUGAGCUGUGGGGAUGGAGGGACAGCAUUCUGCACAUCCCAACCACACUCAGGGGCACCUGCCAGGCGAGGCAGCCCCUUGCCAGCCCCCUUUUUUGGGUGCCCACCCUCCCCCCCCUUCCAUCCUCACACCCUGACAGAUUGUGUUUUACAGGGUCGGAAAUAGAUGCGCGAGAAGGGGCCUCGCAGAUCCCAAGUGAAAGCCAUGCUCAGCUGUCACCCACCCCAGCACCAGCUGCUGGCCCCAGACGGUUCCCAAAAUAAGCAGCCCACAGCUCCUGGGCAUGGCGCGGCCGCUUCCCACCUGCCAACCCCGCAGGGCUCUCUCAAAUCCCAUCCUGGGGGUACAAAAUCCCCACCCCAGAGCUCAAUAGAGGAAUCCUGGGUGCCACCAGACCUGAGCAUUUCUGCGUUUCCAAUUAGCAGGGCGUUAAUUGCAGAGUUCGUUGCUUGUUAGCAGGAAAAGCCAGAUGCUCUUAGAAGCGAAGCGAGCUGAAAGGAUCUUUCUCCCCACCCAAGGAAUAUUUAAGUAUGUCUCAUACAAACAUUUCCUUUGUGUUGGGAACAUGACUGUGGGGACAUGUGGGUGCUGCUUAGCUGCUGAUUCACCAACAAGUGCCAGGGUCCAUCCACCAUGGGAGCGGGGCAAAGCUGGAGCAGCUCAGGGUGCUCCUGUGAGGCACAGGUGGGGCUCUUUGUGCACGGCCAGGUGAAGGCUGGGAGAUGGUCCUCCACCAUAAGCUCACAUAGCAAUACUAUAGGGCAGUGUAUCCCUGAGCUGGGGGGACUCAGUGCAGUGUGUUGUAGGGCAGUCCCUUUGGGAACCAUCUCCUUUGGGCACUGUCUCCUUUGGGCACCAUUUUGCUUGGGAACCAGCCCCUUGGGCUCCGUCUCCUUUGGGCACCAACAUCCUUGGGUACCAGAAACCACAGCUUGUCCUGAGUGUAACUGCCUGCUGCAGCCAUCCAGCACCAAGUGCUCGUGGUUUGUCUUGCUCUUAAGUCCCUCUUGGGCUAGAGAGGCAGAAAGCAUGAUCUGUCACUUCUGUAGCCCACAUACCUGCUUGUGCUAUUAGCGUAGGCGAACUGUCCAGUAAGCAUUAGCUGCAGAGAAAGCACAAGGCUCUGCAGGAAUGCAGACACUUGAAGUCUGGGCUUUGCUGACUUGCGCCGAAUUUCUGCAGGUUGUGCAAUCAGUCCCCAGCAGUGCAGGAGCCUCUCCCUGCCUCCAGCAGGGUUUCUGCACAGGGAAACGCAGCGGCUUCCCCACAGAGGGAUCAGACAGAGUGAGAGGAGGCAUUGCGCAGCGGGUGUUGAGUCAAUAUCCUUUCCAGCUCGCUCUGCCAAUAUGAUUCAUUGUUAAUUCAAGAAAUUCCUCUUACCCUACUACUGGGUUCCCUAAUCGUGGCUUAAUCCAGGCGCCUCAAUGCCACCUACACCAUCACACCAACGCCCAUUAAGGCCACUUGUGGGCUCACCUCGGGUCAGGAUCAGGCUGCACGCUACACGGGUGCCUGCAGCUCCUUCUGCUCUUUGCAGUGCUGAUGCUGAAUUCUGCAGGAAUAAAGAGCACCUGAGACAUUCUGCAGGACCUGCAGGGAAGCAGCACUUGGCGCUGCCAACGAAGCAGGUCUGGGUUUCUUUGUAGUUGCUCAGUGCAACUAAACUUCACCUCCAGGAGCCCAGCUGCCAGGGGACACUGGCACAGCACAGGCUACGGCUGCUGCUCUGGCGUUGAGCCCACCAAACCCUCUGCCAAAGGCACUGCUGGCUCCUCUAACAAGCACCAGCCAGGGGGUGUGAAUUCUCCCAGUGUUCAUUGAAAUAACAUUAAGUGUGAUGGACUCCUGGGCUAUUAGAGUGGAUGUAACAUGUAAUUGAGGCUGGUUAUUCUUCAUCUGGAGUGUCCCCCUUCACUAAUGGCAGAUCAGGGCAGAACACAUGGUGUGUGCUUUGUGAGCCCCGCUGCAAUUCACUCGCUGCCUCCGAUCAAAAUGAUCCCAAUGAAUGUCAAUGAAUGAGUGGGGGGACAAUGAAUUAGAGUGAAUGAAAGCCUUGUCAUGGGGCCCUUUGCCAGCACCGAGCCACAAUGCAGCACCACAAGGACAGCGCCUGCCUGGGUGGUGUUGAGUUCAUUCCCAUUAGUGCGAUGAGGAUCACGGGGUGGGGGCAAGGUCGGUGCUGCUGAUGGGGCUCUCCAGGCCUUAUAGCUGCCAUUUAUAUGGGGACCGAAGUGAGGGGGGUUGGAGGAGCUGGGCACAGAGAGUUGGGUUGGGCAUAGGCACGGGUGUGCUCGGCCCAUGGAUGCUCACACAUGGACUGCCCAUAUCCUCUGUCCGGUGUUUGCUAGCACUGAGGAUGUGGGAUCACCACUUAGCCUGAAAUCCAAACCAUUCAAUCCCAGUUUUGAUUCCAGAUCUCAAUCCCAGCCCAGUGAGAUUGCUGCUCUCCAAAUUUUGGAUUGAGCCGCCUCUUCAUUAAGUUGUUAAUCAGAUGCUGCAGGCAGCACGUGCAGUGCUUUUCACCAUGGAAAUGCCCACGUUUCCCCCUGGGGCCACGUUCUUAGUGUCUCAAAGACCCAGACCAUUGGGCAAAACACGGGCACAUCACCUGGCAGCAAUCGAGGGGAGGAGGAAGGAUGCUGCUCCCAGAUCCCGGCUCUUGGCAGCUGCUGCUGCUGCUGCUCCUGCGCUAUCCGUGCACCUCCCAACAAACACCCAAAUGUGUAGGCGCAUCUGCACAGAAAUGAUGAAUAAUAAUGUGAGAGGGAAAAAGAGUGGGCGAGAGGGUGCAGGGGAGAAGGAAGAGCUCAGAUACCGGAGGGGAAGAACAGGAUCAGCAGGG
rnacentral:lncRNA from 1 species